AUGGCGCGGGAGGAGCUGUCGACGGAGAUCGUGAACCGCGGCGUGGAGCCGUCGGGCCCGGACGCCGGGUCGCCGACCUUCUCGGUGCGCGUGCGCCGCCGGCUGCCCGACUUUUUGCAGUCGGUGAACCUCAAGUACGUGCGGCUCGGGUACCACUACCUGCUGAGCCACGGCGUGUACCUGGCCACCAUCCCGGUGAUCGUGCUGGUGUGCGGCGCCGAGGUGGGCAGCCUCAGCCGCGACGAGCUGUGGCGCAAGGUGUGGGACGAGGCCACCUACGACCUCGCCACCGUGCUCGCCUUCCUCGCCGUCCUCGCCUUCACCAUCUCCGUCUACAUCAUGUCCCGCCCCAGGCCCAUCUACCUCAUCGACUUCGCCACCUACAAGCCCGCCGACGAACUCAAGGUGUCCAAGGCGGAGUUCAUCGACCUGGCGCGCAAGUCGGGCAAGUUUGACGAGGAGAGCCUGGCAUUCCAGGCGCGGCUGCUGGCCAAGUCCGGCAUCGGGGACGAGUCCUACAUGCCGCGCUGCGUCUUCCAGCCCGACGCCAACUGCGCCACCAUGAAGGAGGGCCGCGCCGAGGCCUCCGCCGCCAUGUUCGCCGCGCUCGACGAGCUCUUCGACAAGUGCCGCGUCCGCCCCAAGGACGUCGGCGUCCUCGUCGUCAACUGCAGCCUCUUCAACCCCACCCCCUCCCUCUCCGCCAUGAUCGUCAACCACUACAAGAUGCGCGGCAACAUCCUCAGCUACAACCUGGGGGGCAUGGGCUGCAGCGCGGGGGUCAUCUCCAUCGACCUCGCCCGCGACAUGCUCCAGGCCAGCGGCGCCGGGCUCGCCGUCGUGGUGAGCACCGAGGCCGUGUCGUUCACCUGGUACGCCGGGAAGCGCCGCUCCAUGCUCAUCCCCAACGCCUUCUUCCGCGCGGGCGCGGCCGCCGUGCUGCUGUCCAACCGCCGCAGGGACUUCCGCCGCGCCAAGUACCAGCUGGAGCACGUGGUGCGCACGCACAAGGGCGCCGACGACCGCGCCUUCCGCUCCGUGUACCAGGAGGAGGACGAGCAGCGGAUCAAGGGCCUGUCCAUCAGCCGCGACCUGGUGGAGGUCGGCGGCCACGCGCUCAAGACCAACAUCACCACCCUCGGCCCGCUGGUGCUCCCCUUCUCGGAGCAGCUGCUCUUCUUCGCCGGCGUGCUGUUCCGCCACCUCUACCCGUCCAAGACGUCCACCCCGCCGCCGCCGGCCGCCAACGGGGACACCUCGGCCGCCGCGCCCUACAUCCCGGACUUCAAGCGCGCGUUCGAGCACUUCUGCAUGCACGCCGCCAGCCGCGACGUGCUGGAGCACCUGCAGCGCAACCUGGGCCUCCGCGACGCCGACCUGGAGGCCUCCCGCGCCGCGCUGCACCGCUUCGGCAACACCUCCAGCAGCAGCAUCUGGUACGAGCUGGCCUACCUGGAGGCCAAGGGCCGCGUCCGCCGCGGUGACCGCGUGUGGCAGCUCGCCUUCGGCUCCGGCUUCAAGUGCAACAGCGCCGUGUGGCGCGCCGUCCGCCGCGUGCGCCGCCCGUCCAGGAGCCCGUGGCUGGACUGCGUCGACCAGUACCCGGCGCGCAUGGACGCCUGA
rnacentral:rRNA from 1 species